rnacentral:tRNA from 1 species
UGGCUCAGUUAGUAGAGCAUGGAACUUGUAAUGCCAGGGUUGUGGGUACGAUUCCCAC